rnacentral:tRNA from 1 species
UCCCUGGUGGCUCAGUGGUAAAGAAUCUGCCUGCCAAUGCAGGAGACACAGGUUCGAUCCCUGCUCUGGGAU